rnacentral:lncRNA from 1 species
UUUGCUAACAUAUACAAACACAGGGAUUAAAGUGGCCAAAUUGAUAACACGGGGAUUAAAUUGGCCGAUGAGGUAAAACACAGGGACCAUUUUGACAUUUAAGCCUUAAAACUAUGCAUCUUUAUUUUUGGAAGUUGAUUUUCCCACUCCCCUUUUCUCCACUUACAUUCUUGUUUGCUUUUUUAAUACUUUUUAAUUAAUUUUGUUCUUUUUUUCUUUCUCUUUCCUAUUCCACCCUUAUCCUACAUUAAUUUCUUUUUACUUCACUUUUAUAUUAUUUCUUUUUCUUUAUGCCAUUAAAUGAACAUGAUAAUAUAUUUUUAUUUAUUUAGAAAACCUAUAAAAUGCUUUAUGAAGUUAAUAAAAAGUUGAAUUAAACAUUAGAAAAGAAGAAGAAAAAGAGCGCAGUUGGGGAGGGGAGGAGCUGCACAACGAUUGUAGAAGUGGGAAAAACCCAGCAACCCUGUCAAUCUCUACCCCCAACCACUUUCCCAUCAACACCCAAAAGCCCCAACUCUCCAAGCCACACUUACCUCCCCAACUCCAAUCCACCCACCUCUAAUAUAUAUAAUAAAAGCCCCCUUGCAACCUUACCACUCUGCAAUGGUCCUUCCCACUUUUUUACCCUCUGAGCCGCUCCUCCCCUUCCUAACUAGACUACGCCUUUCUUUUCUUUUUCUUUUCAAGUUUUUUCUUUUUUCUAAUGAUAUAUUUUAGUUUAAUUGAACUUUUUAUUAACUUCAAAAAACUUUAUAGGUUUUCAAAAUAAAAUAAAAAAAGAUUUUCAAGUUCAUUUAGCGGCAAUUUUAACGAAACAUAUCAAAUUGACUAACGGUCUUAAACAUAGGGAUCAAAUUGGCCAAAUUGAAAACACAUGGACUAAAUUGGCCAAGUGAUAAAAUACAGGGACUAUUUUGACAUUUAAGCCAAAGAAAUAAUAUAAAAGUGAAGUAAAAAGAAAUUAAUGUAUGGCAAUGGUAGAAUAGGAAAGAGAAAGAACAAAAAUGAAAAAUAUUGAUUAAAAAAUAUUAAAAAGCAAAAGGGAGUGUAAGUGGAGAAAAGGAGAGUGGAAAAAUCAGCUCCGUUUAUAAAUUAUAUGUAUUGUUUCAUACAUUAUUUUUACUGAGAGUGUUUCUUAUAUACAUUCUAUUUGUUCUCAUAAGUAUUCUUUCUUUCUUUUUUUUUUCUUUUAAAAGAUCAUUGAUGUAUAAAUGUAAAGUAGGUGGUUAAGAAAUCUAAUAACCGUUGACCAUAUAUGGUAGUUUAGGGUUAGCUUAGGUCCUAUAAAUAAAGAAAAUAUCAUGUACUUUUUUUCCUAAGAGUGUAAACUGUUUGUUUGGAGGCCGGUCCUGAGGGGAGAUGCCAAAAUAGCAUUGCUCCACAGAAGAAAAAUUAUUUUUACGUGUUUGUGUAGAAUAUUAUAAAUAUAAAAAAAGGGUAAACUACAGUAAACCCCCCAACUUAUAAGGUCAUUUACGAGUUCAUACCCGAUUUUGGAGACAUUUACGAGUACAUACUCAACGUCGCAGAAAAC